UACGUAGGGGGCAAGCGUUGUCCGGAAUUACUGGGCGUAAAGCGUGCGCAGGCGGUUCGUUGUGUCGGCGGUGAAAGCCCCGGGCUCAACCUGGGAAUGGCCGUUGAAACUGGCGAACUGGAGUGUGGCAGAGGGGGGUGGAAUUCCGCGUGUAGCAGUGAAAUGCGUAGAGAUGCGGAGGAACACCGAUGGCGAAGGCAGCCCCCUGGGCUGACACUGACGCUCAGGCACGAAAGCGUGGGGAGCAAACAGG
rnacentral:rRNA from 1 species